rnacentral:rRNA from 1 species
UUCUUCAAAAAAAGUAUUUAAAGAAAUAAAUUAAUUAAAAGGAACUCGGCAAAUUUAGUUGCUUCGCCUGUUUAUCAAAAACAUGGCUCUCUGCCUAUGUAUAUAUAGAGAGUCGGGCCUGCCCAGUGAAUUUUUCAACGGCCGCGGUACUCUGACCGUGCAAAGGUAGCAUAAUCAUUUGCCUUAUAAUUGAAGGCUAGUAUGAAUGGUUUGACGAGAGCAACGCUGUCUCUUUUUUAUUUUCAAGAACUUAACUUUUAGGUGAAGAGGCCUAAAUUUUAUUGAAGGACAAGAAGACCCUGUCGAGCUUAAAAGACACCAUAGAAGUCUAUAUAUUUUUAAAUAAAUUUCCUAUUAAGCUUUUUAGUUGGGGCGACUAAGGAACAAAAAAAGCUUCUUGCUAAUGCUAAACAAUCACGUUUAGAUCCGAUAAUAGUCGAUCAAAGAAAUUAGUUACCGCAGGGAUAACAGCAUAAUCUCUCUUGAGAGACCUAAUCGAAAGAGGGGGUUGUGACCUCGAUGUUGGACUAGAAUAUCCUAAAGAUG